rnacentral:lncRNA from 1 species
UAUUUAGCAGACAUGAUCUGGAAGAAGAUCCAUCAAUGAAGACUGAGAAGAGGCGGUCGGAGAGGACCUUCCUCUUUAAUUUCCAAAUAGAGUGGCACCCCAUAAAACCUGAUAUGGUUCCAUGCAAUUGGUAUAAUGCCAUCCGCAAAUUGUAUCAUCUUUAGAAAAGACCUUAUACAGGACACUUUUUUGAACAACAGAUGAUAUUUUGAUGAGGAAACUGAGGUAAAGAGGUCAAGAGUCUUGCCCAAGAACACAUAAGGAGAGGCAAAAUUAGAAUUUGUACCUAGAAUACAUUUGAACUCAGCCCCAUGACUCCAAAUUCAGCUUUUGUGAGAUUUUUCUAUUACCAAUAUCUUUCUCAUGAUUCCUAAUAUGUCC